rnacentral:rRNA from 1 species
AAUAUUGCGCAAUGGGGGAAACCCUGACGCAGCAACGCCGCGUGGAGGAUGAAGGUUUUCGGAUUGUAAACUCCUUAACUGGGGGAAGAGGAAGGACGGUACCCCAGGACGAAGACACGGCUAACUCCGUGCCAGCAGCCGCGGUAAUACGGAGGGUGCAAGCGUUGUCCGGAUUCACUGGGUGUAAAGGGUGUGUAGGCGGGACGGUAUGUUAGAGGUGAAAGCCCACGGCCUAACCGUGGAACUGCCUUUAAAACUGCCGUUCUUGAGUCUCGGAGAGGUCGCUGGAAUUCGUGGUGUAGCGGUGAAAUGCGUAGAUAUCACGAGGAACACCAGAGGCGUAGGCGGGUGACUGGACGAGAACUGACGCUGAGGCACGAAAGCGUGGGGAGCAAACAGGAUUAGAUACCCUGGUAGUCCACGCCGUA